UCUCGUCUAUCGUUGGUGCAAAGAUAAACAACACCGGCGCAAGCGAACCACUUGUGACGGUCGAAUUAAAAGGAAAUGAAUCGUUAACGAGCAAGGGUCGUGACGUAGAUUAAGAUUAAUUGGUAGAAAAGUCAAACUGAAACUGACGGGCCGCGAUAGUCCAAAGAAAGAUGUUUAAAAAGAGGACACGACGCGACCGACGUCCAGCUGUGGAGUCCGGACGAUUUUCAAGCAAACGAUAGGGAAAUGGCGUACGGCGAGGGGGGAAGGAGGGCACGAUAAAGGUUAAACGGUCGACGUUCGGCGUUACGGAAUACAAUUAGGUCGAAUUACGUGAGAAUGACAUGGGAACGAGGGCGAAAGUGAAAUUUCAUUAAGAGUAUCGAACUGAGGAAACUUUCUUUUUCGUUGACGAAAUUAAUUCUUUGCUACAUUUUUUUUUUUUUUUUUUUUUCGUUAAUUUGUUCUUUGCCAAGUCUAGAUUAACUGUUCGAGUUUUAAUACUUUAACUAGUUUCCUAUUUAGAAAAAAAAGAAAAUAUUUGAAAUAGAUAUUUCGAAUUUUCGCUCGCAAUCAAAAUUUCUCUGAUCUGACACGUCAUUUUUUAUUUUUAAGAAUGAUUGUUUUUCAGAAUUGGAAUGUUACAGAGGCUUAUCGAUCUUAUCGUGUUAUGCUUCAGCAAAUAUUCGUAAAUUGCGUUGUUACCGAUACAAUAUCGCAAAUUUAUCGUUAUUCGCAAUAUUUUUAUUCGUAAUCUUUGCAUUUGCUUUACGUUCUUUAACGUGUUACAUAUUACACUACAAGAUUAUUGAAUACAUAAGUUGUACAUAUGUAUAUAAUUUCGCUAAAAAUCGUUGAAGCUUUAUUUUUAAAUAUUAUCAAUCAAUUAUGAAAUAGAGGGAACAUAUAAAACAGUUAUCUUUACUUGCAACGUAUAUCCAUGAUACAAAUAUGUUAGAAAUAAGUAAACAUUAUCAAAUCAAGCUAGAAUUAAAUUAAACAUUAACAAAGUUACGAUAAAAAGUGUUUUAUAUGUUCGCCUCUAUUUGAUCAGCUAAAAACAAAUUCAAAUAAAACCUCGCUUUUUUCGCGAUCCUUUAAAGACGAUACGGACUGUUUACCGUUCACUGUUUAAACCGAUAUUUAAUUCAGGCCUUGUUACGAUUCGACUUUAUCCAUUGUGGAUCCCGGGCCAAGGUAUUUGACCUUAAGGUAGAACUAGGUGAGAAUCCGACCCGCGGAAUGGAUCCGUCGAGGCGAGGAUCGGUAAGAACGCGAACGAGAGUGAAAUCCCAUCGAUUGGAUGAGCGCGAAGCCUGAUUAGAGUUGGAAUUAGACGCGGGAUGCGAAGCAUUCGGAGGGGAAAACGACCGUUACGGGGGCACACACGGAAUCUGUACUAUAGAUUUGUGAGGCGUUCAACGUGGGACGCGGAUGAAAGCAGAAUUAAGAAGCUGAAUAAAAUCGAAUGGAUGAUGAGAGGAGUGGGUGUAAGCGCGGGACUGGCAGCUGUUCCUCGACUUCGUCCGCCAUUACGAAAGCCACGGUAUCACUGACCUCGUUGCUACCACUCGCGCAAGAGAAACAUGCCUCGAAACAGAUUCACGGACAUCUAGAAAGGUUGUUUACGUAUCCGAGAUAUACCAGUCAAUGUACUCCGACGAAGAAACAGCAAUGAUAUUUAACCUUUAGCACUAUGAAUGCAUGUUAUUUAUAGCGGUGCGUUGUCGUAUAACUUGACUCUAACACCUAAUGUAACAAUCUUAUAUUUGCGUCUUUUUCAUAUUCGUUUGAUUCUUGCGUAAAAUUACGUUAUAUUGCGUUUGCUUCGUAAUUCUCCAAUUAGGGAUGCUAGUCCUUAAAUUGGGACCCACUGUCCUCCCUAUAGCUCGGGUACCUCAGUAUUGCUAAACCCGUACUGUAGCUACGAUAAAAGAUGUCUACAGCCCUUGAGAGCUUGGCACUAUGGGGUUCUCUCUGAGGAGACGUUAUAAAUCUAACAAACUUUGCCUGUGAUCACUGGACCGCGGAAUUUUAUGCAUUCAUGACCUACAGUAAUAUAGACAACAUACAGAAAAACAUGUACAAUGUAUGUGGGGAAUACAUUAUACAAUUAAUAUAAUAAUAUUGUUAUUUUAUUUUGCACAUACCUCCAGGUAUUUGUUACAGUAGCUUAUAUCAUGAAUACAUGAAAUGAAAUAAAUUCCUACCAUUAAUUUUGAUUCUCGAUUCCUGAGAAUUAUAGUAAUAUACAAUCUGAAAUGCAGUUAUAUAAACAGUAACUGUGGUAAUGUACGAUCUAAAAUUAUUCAGUAGGUAUAUUAAGAUUCUUAAUCGGUUCCAAUGAAAUAAAUCAACAUAAACAAUCGGACCAAACUCGUUAAACGAAACGAAAACUUCAUUCCCGAUCACGCUCAUACAUAUUUCAAACGGACGUACGAUGAAUGUUAACGCUCCGACUGAACAAUCGGUAAUAUUCAUCGCGAACUAGUCACCGGUUUCUAGGCUCGAAACAGAUACAAUCUCGAGACAGUGCACAAAUAUUGUUCCAUCGUCGAGUCUCGUGUGGACGCUCCAGAUAAAACCGAGUGAAACUAUCCUCGGUAAAUGAAAAUUUUAACGACCCAUUUUUGCGGGUCGCCGGAAGACAAAUGUUUACACCGAAGCCAUGGAAGCAACGUGAACCGUGAUUCACGGUGGCUCCGUAUACCUGCGCGAAACCGUGUAAACAUAUGUUGGGGUCAAAGUCAGCGGCUGUCGAUGCGUAAUGCGACGUAAACAAAAGGACGAACGUUCGAGAACGUUACGUGUCGAUGUACCAAUGAUGGCUACGAUUGUACUCGAAUAAUAGCCGAAGACCAAACCAAUACCGUUAACACUGCAAGCAUUUAGAUGACGUUUUGUCUACACGUACAGUUAACGUACAGUUGGAAAUGAAAAUAAAAGAAAUAUCUGUGGAAACUAAAAUUAAAAUGAUAAAACAUAGCUUUAUGUGUUUUUUGUUAUUUCCACAUUGGACUGAUACUGUUUGUUUUUCAUUUACAAUUUACCAUUAUUUUACGUUGCAAUCGAUGAAAUUAACGCUCUAAUUAUCGCUCUAUUUAGAAAGAAUUUACAAUUUAGAUCAGGAUUUUCUACAUUGGUAUAUUAUAUGUAUUCAAUUACUGACGCAAUAAGUUAAACAUGUUACGGCGGAUAAAACCAUAAAAAUAAAAGAAACGAAAAGGUAAUUGAUCCGACGUGAAAACGGGAAUGGUUACGUAGCUUUCAACAUGUGUACAGUUACACAAUGUUCUGAUUACACGACAAGGUGACCUUGAAUCUUAGUUUACUUAUCAAUUAAACUAGUUGUACUAUUUUUAGCAGUAUGACAUUAUGUUAUAAAACUUGUGGUCUGCGUGCAGCUAUGGAUAAACUAAGUACCUACGAAUCGUACAUCUUUUCUAAGGAGGGUCCAAAAAUAAGAGAUCAAAAUAUUUUUAAACAAAUAAUUAUCAACUGCGUUUUAUCAACGUAACUUAUUUGAAUAAACAUUUUUAUCGAGAUAAGAAUUUCGUCCAUCUCUGAAAAUGAGACAUAUCUGUGUAGUAUACAAGCUCUACAUUAACGCUGUUUACAUGUUGCAACAUGUAUCCGACACACGUAAACAGUUUUACUGAUCUCCAUGAUCCGCUAUGCCUACAAUUCAACAGUCCUAGUUUAGCGUCCGACAAAUACUAAACACAAACACAUGGUUUUGUCUCCCUAUUAAUUUAGGCAAUAGAAUUUCUAGAUUCUCUUUUGUCUUUUAUUUUAGUUAGAAUAUCGUAAAAAAUACCAGUGCUACUAAACUAUAAUAUUUUAGUAAAAAUAUGCUUUAACUGUUUGCGCUCGGGUGGGGCCCCUAGGGCGACAUAUGUAAUUUAAAAGUGAUUUUGUAAACGUACAAUUUCGAAUUCACUUGCGUCAGAAUACAACUAACUAUUAAUUGAAAUAAUAAUACAUCGAGUCGUGAAUGUUUUUAGAUGUUUUUCUUCCAAGUAGAGUUUUCGGUUUCACAGAAAUUUAAUUUAAAAAUGGACUAGAUUUGGUUAAACUGUAAAAUUAGUCUUUAAGGACGUAUUUAUAUGUAACCAUAACCCUGAUUUGUUACACAAAGAAUUGGAAUAUCGAGCUAUCGAAAAUAGAUCCAACUACGUGUGCUGCUUAAGCAUAGGAAGAAUUACUUUGACGAGACACGUAAAUCGCCCCGGACUUUAAAAAUUGCAAACCGGAUGGUCAGUUCAUUUUGGGGUUAUAUUUAUCUCGCCUCAGACUGUAAUCUGUUUAGGAUUAAUAAGAUAAAACGGCUAUCGCGUUGCACAAUUCAUUCUUCUCGUACGCAAGCAGUAUAUGACCUCUUAGCUCUUUCAUGCAUUAAGCUGUUCCUCUAAUUGAAUGUUAUGGUAAGCACCUGGUAUCGCGAACUAGCGUAAUGAAAACAGACUAUGACUCAUAUCUCAGCUUUUUAUUCGCAUUUUCGAAUAACCGAAGAGGUAAAUCACCCUUAAAACAUGUAUUUAUAGUUAUACCUAACCAGAGGCCUGAUUUAACCAAACGUAAUCGUUCAUUGUGAAAAAACUUACAAGCAUCGAGAUGCUUUUGAUCUUCCUUUGGGCCAUAUAGCCUCCUUAACACUAGAACUACCAAGUCGGUCAAUUUCACCCAUACAUUUGAAAAUUUUCUUUAAUAAUAACUCACGCGUAAACGAUGCUUUUAUCGCAAUAUCAGCCGACAGUUAUUGCAACAGAGCAGACAUAAAAUUUAUCUACCACGCUCCUCUCUAAUUUUAAAGAUAGAAAUGACACCAAACGACCGUCGUUAGUUGUAGCGUUAACAUAUACAAACAUCGGUCUAGCGAGCUCCAUGCAUUCCACGGUACCAAAA